AUCACCUGGGGAUUGUGUUAAAAUGCAGAUUUGGAGUCAUUAGGGCUGCUUAGGGCCUGAGAUUCUGCAUUUCUAACAAGCACCCAGGUGAUGUUGA
rnacentral:pre_miRNA from 1 species